CUGUAAGCCGUUGAAGGUGGCCUGUGAGGGUUGCUGGAGGUAUCAGAAGUGCGAAUGCUGACAUAAGUAACGAUAAAGCGGGUGAAAAGCCCGCUCGCCGGAAGACCAAGGGUUCCUGUCCAACGUUAAUCGGGGCAGGGUGAGUCGACCCCUAAGGCGAGGCCGAAAGGCGUAGUCGAUGGGAAACAGGUUAAUAUUCCUGUACUUGGUGUUACUGCGAAGGGGGGACGGAGAAGGCUAUGUUAGCCGGGCGACGGUUGUCCCGGUUU
rnacentral:rRNA from 1 species